rnacentral:rRNA from 1 species
GUGGGGAAUCUUAGACAAUGGGCGCAAGCCUGAUCUAGCCAUGCCGCGUGAGCGAUGAAGGCCUUAGGGUUGUAAAGCUCUUUCGCUGGGGAAGAUAAUGACUGUACCCAGUAAAGAAGCCCCGGCUAACUCCGUGCCAGCAGCCGCGGUAAUACGGAGGGGGCUAGCGUUGUUCGGAAUUACUGGGCGUAAAGCGCGCGUAGGCGGAUUGGAAAGUUGGGGGUGAAAUCCCGGGGCUCAACCUCGGAACUGCCUUCAAAACUCCCAGUCUUGAGUUCGAGAGAGGUGAGUGGAAUUCCGAGUGUAGAGGUGAAAUUCGUAGAUAUUCGGAGGAACACCAGUGGCGAAGGCGGCUCACUGGCUCGAUACUGACGCUGAGGUGCGAAAGCGUGGGGAGCAAACAGGAUUAGAUACCCGAGUAGUCC